rnacentral:rRNA from 1 species
UGGGGAAUAUUGGACAAUGGGCGAAAGCCUGAUCCAGCAAUGCCGCGUGAGUGAUGAAGGCCUUCGGGUUGUAAAGCUCUGUCGGAGGGGACGAAAAAGCGGAUUAACAAACCGCAUUGACGGUACCCUCAAAGGAAGCACCGGCUAACUCUGUGCCAGCAGCCGCGGUAAUACAGAGGGUGCAAGCGUUGUUCGGAAUUACUGGGCGUAAAGCGCGUGUAGGUGGCGAUGUAAGUCGGGUGUGAAAUCCCUCGGCUCAACCGAGGAAGUGCACUCGAUACUGUGUCGCUUGAGUGUUGGAGGGGAUGGCGGAAUUCCCGGUGUAGAGGUGAAAUUCGUAGAUAUCGGGAGGAACACCUGUGGCGAAGGCGGCCAUCUGGACAACUACUGACACUGAGACGCGAAAGCGUGGGUAGCAAACAG